rnacentral:rRNA from 1 species
GACGAACGCUGGCGGCGUGCUUAACACAUGCAAGUCGAACGGAAAGGCCCUGCUUUUGUGGGGUUCUCGGGUGGCGAACGGGGGAGUAACACGUGAGUAACCUGCCCUUGACUUUGGGAUAACUUCAGGAAACGGGGGCUAAUACCGGAUAGGAGCUCCUGCUGCAUGGUGGGGGUUGGAAAGUUUCGGCGGUUGGGGAUGGACUCGCGGCUUAUCAGCUUGUUGGUGGGGUAGUGGCUUACCAAGGCUUUGACGGGUAGCCGGCCUGAGAGGGUGACCGGCCACAUUGGGACUGAGAUACGGCCCAGACUCCUACGGGAGGCAGCAGUGGGGAAUAUUGCACAAUGGGCGGAAGCCUGAUGCAGCAACGCCGCGUGCGGGAUGACGGCCUUCGGGUUGUAAACCGCUUUCGCCUGUGACGAAGCGUGAGUGACGGUAAUGGGUAAAGAAGCACCGGCUAACUACGUG